rnacentral:rRNA from 1 species
AAAAUACGGGAGGCAGCAGUGAGGAAUAUUGGUCAAUGGACGCAAGUCUGAACCAGCCAAGUAGCGUGCAGGAUGACGGCCCUAUGGGUUGUAAACUGCUUUUAUGUGGGAAUAAAGUGGCGCACGUGUGCGCCAUUGUAUGUACCUCAUGAAUAAGGACCGGCUAAUUCCGUGCCAGCAGCCGCGGUAAUUUUU